rnacentral:rRNA from 1 species
CAGUCGAACGGAGAUACCCGCUGAUGAAGUACUUCGGUAAUGAUUCUUGGAUAUCUUAGUGGCGGACGGGUGAGUAACGCGUGAGCAACCUGCCUUUCAGAGGGGGAUAACGUUUGGAAACGAACGCUAAUACCGCAUGAUAUUAUUGAGCUGCAUGGCUUGAUAAUCAAAGGAGCAAUCCGCUGAAAGAUGGGCUCGCGUCCGAUUAGGUAGUUGGCGGGGCAACGGCCCACCAAGCCGACGAUCGGUAGCCGGACUGAGAGGUUGAACGGCCACAUUGGGACUGAGACACGGCCCAGACUCCUACGGGAGGCAGCAGUGAGGGAUAUUGGUCAAUGGGGGAAACCCUGAACCAGCAACGCCGCGUGAGGGAAGACGGUUUUCGGAUUGUAAACCUCUGUCCUCUGUGAAGAUAAUGACGGUAGCAGAGGAGGAAGCUCCGGCUAACUACGUGCCAGCAGCCGCGGUAAUACGUAGGGAGCAAGCGUUGUCCGGAUUUACUGGGUGUAAAGGGUGCGUAGGCGGCUUUGCAAGUCAGAAGUGAAAUCCAUGGGCUUAACCCAUGAACUGCUUUUGAAACUGCAGAGCUUGAGUGGAGUAGAGGUAGGCGGAAUUCCCGGUGUAGCGGUGAAAUGCGUAGAGAUCGGGAGGAACACCAGUGGCGAAGGCGGCCUGCUGGGCUCUAACUGACGCUGAGGCACGAAAGCGUGGGUAGCAAACAGGAUUAGAUACCCUGGUAGUCCACGCUGUAAACGAU